UCUGUGUACCAAGGAGCCCUAUGUAGGGCCCAAUAACAUGGAAAGCUGGACGUUCUGGAGAAGUUUGCUCUACUUGGGGCUGUUUUGGAUCAAAAUUAUGAAUAGGAGUUUACACCGAGUGAUUUUUUAAUCUGUUAUUUGCUGACUUGAAGAAUGACAGCUGUUGUCCUUUCUUCUAUGCAAAAUGUCCAUGCUUCAGCAUCACAAAAAAAAAUGUCACCUGGUCAUGUAAUCCCCCGGUCACCUUACUAAAGAAGCAUCCUGCAAGGAUCAUUUUGUAAAUAGCGAAAAUGUUCUCUUUAUAUUAUCAUAUCUAAGCAGGACAUCUUUCAGUUUUUACCAUGUUUGAGUUUUGAUCAUUUCACUACAUGUUUAU